AACAAACGCUGGCGGCGUGCCUAAUACAUGCAAGUCGAACGGGGAAAGCUUUCGGGUGAGUACUAGUGGCGCACGGGUGAGGAACGCGUGGAUAAUCUGCCUUAGAGUGGGGGAUAACUAGUCGAAAGAUUAGCUAAUACCGCAUAAGACCACGAGAGCUGCGGCUUUUGAGGUCAAAGGUUUUUCGCUCUAAGAUGAGUCCGCGUAAGAUUAGCUAGUUGGUGAGGUAACGGCUCACCAAGGCGACGAUCUUUAACUGGUCUGAGAGGAUGAUCAGUCACACUGGAACUGAGACACGGUCCAGACUCCUAUGGGAGGCAGCAGUAGGGAAUAUUGCACAAUGGAGGAAACUCUGAUGCAGCGACGCCGCGUGAGUGAUGAAGGCCUUCGGGUCGUAAAGCUCUGUCGCAGGGGAAUAACACAAUGAAGGUACCCUGUAAGAAAGGAUCGGCUAACUUCGUG
rnacentral:rRNA from 1 species